rnacentral:misc_RNA from 1 species
GGAAAACAAGACAGACAUCGGCCAGUUACUCGCACCUGCCCCAGUUAAGAAUAUUCUCUGCAUAUCCAUGUGAAGAAGCUCAACAACGAUACACGGAGGAAUAGUAAGGGACUUCAUGCUCAUCUUGGAAGCAACAACUGGCAAGCUUAUCAGCGGUCAUAUUAAUUAGCUUCCCUGUAACAAUAAUUAACCACAAAUCCCAGGAUCUUUGAAGAAUUUGGUGGCAUAUAGAGAGUAAAACCAGAAGCUUCAAAUGAUUUUGAUCAGUUCUAUUAACAAGUUCCACAACAACUUUAGGAUAGCCUAACUCCCAUGCUAAAUGCAACCCGCUGGCCACAGAAUGAAAUAUCGCCGCCUAGAAUUAUAUUUACCAACCUCGGAACAAAUCUACCUUUUUCCAUUGCCCCAUACGGUCCGCAGGCCGCAGCACACCACCACCCCCAGCAUUACCUGAGUUGCCCUUGCUAGCUCUGUCUGUGUUCAACUUCGCCCAUCUAAAAUGGGGAGGCUUCCCAGCAAUAGCCGAAAUGAACGGGCAGUACGAAGUUUUGGGCAACCUAUUAUGCCUCAAGAUUGUGACCGAACUGAGCUUAUUUUCAAACACACCAGCUUGGAUUUUUUGAGCUACUCCUUUGAAGAUGAGUUCAUUCCUCCAUCUGCAGAACCUGGAUAGCCGAUGUGUUAGAAUUGAACCUAUCCCAAGAGAGUAUUUCUCAAAAACCAAUCAGCCACAAAAGAGUUAUUAAAGCAAGAAAGAGACUGAGCAUUCCAAUCUUUAAUCCUCAUGUCCUAGCAUCCGGACAAUCUCUUAAGGCAUGAAAACUUCCUCUACUGAUGCGUCACAUAUUUGCAAUAAAGAAUCAAGUGUAAAACAUCUUCUACUGCUCUCAAGAUUAGUCAUAAUCUUCUCUUAAACCAUAAGCCACAAGAUAUAGGCAUGCCAUGGAAAUGUAAAAAGCAGAGUU